CAUGAAUCUAGUAGCAAUAUACCUGUUCCUAAAAUAGUACGUAGAUGUGAAAACAUAUUAUUUUUUCAGCCCCUUGGGCAAUACCUGGAAAGCCUUUGGAUUUGUGGAUAUUUCACUGCCUCAACAGUGUGCACAGGUCUAUGGCUUAGAGCUACUCUGGUAGAGAGAUCAUUUGUCAUGAAGUUGAAACACCGUGGAAUAGAAUCUGUUGUCUGGUACUUUUAGGAGGCUGAGACAGGUGAUAACCAGCUGUUAAAAGAAAAACUUUAGACAAAAUACGUUUAACAGAGUUAAUGUGAACAAUAAAAGAUUCAUGAAUCAUACACCACUUGAAACCAGAAGGUGUUAAGAGAGCUCGGGCUCAGCAUAAUGGCAGUGAGCUUUUGUAGGCUGAACAUGGAAAUAAAAUACAGAAAUUAUUGGAUUCGCUACAGCUAGGCAUUUGUUCUGCUUGGGGAUAUUCCUAUGGGAGGUCCCAUGUAGUGGGUAAAUCAGCUGGUUGGCUGUCUGUGAUUGGCUGAAACUUGGUUGAAAAUGAAUCACUUAUAAGGACUACGGCUAAGUUAAGAUUUCUUUUGCUUGUAAGAGAGUUUUAGUCAGAAGCACCUCCAGGUUAACAGUCUUUUGCUUAUUUUGGUUUUAAAAAUAUUAGCACAUUGGGCCGGGGAUUUAACUCAGUGGUUUCGCGGCCUGCUGUGCAAGCACAAGGACCCGAGUUCAAUCCCCAGUACCUCCCCCCCAAAAUUAGUACAUGUUUGCAGUAUAUGAAGUUUGAAGCUUAUUUUUGCUUUUACACAGUCAAGAUUGUUCUUCCAGUCAUCCUGAAACAAGCUUCCUAUAUGUAAAUCUUGAGAGAGAUGAGGGGAAAUGGAAUGAUUUCCAAAAUAUGAGUUCGUUCUCAAAAGGAUAUGGAUCUUGGUUCGAGAGCAUAAAUAUGGUGACUAAUAAUAAUAAAAAUGAUAAGAUACCAUUUAAGUAGCUACUAAGUGGCAGUAAACCAUAAAAAGAUAUUAGAUAUAGACUUAAUAUACUUUCCCCAUAGAAAACCCAGGAUCUCAUGUUCAUCAAUCUCUGCACUGAGUUAGGUUUUAUGAAGUAAAUUCUACCAGUCAAAAGUAACUAAAUCAGAAUUCCAAUCUUUACUGGCAUCUCUCAAAGAACAUUAAAAUGAUUAAAUUCAAUCCUCACAGCAAAAUCUGUCAAAGUUCCUUUCCUUGGUCAGUCUUUACAUUUUGUUGCCUACUUCAGAACUUCUUACUUGACAGUUACUCCUUAAUGCUCAUGGCAAUGAUUUAUUUAUUUAUUUAUUGCCUGCCCUUGAAAUAAGAUUGUUACCAGGCAGAUAGACUUAAUCAUUACUGCAUCAGAUUUAUUUCUUCUCUGUCGGUCCAUUCUGCAGGUUCUCUGCACCAGAGGGCAGUGCUGGGGCUGAGAGAACAUACAAGAAUCCUAUCUCCCUGCCUCUACCUGCAUCUCUCCUUCACAGUCUCUGUCUCUCUGUCUCUCUCUCUUUCUCUCUCUCUCUCGACCUCUCUCCCUCUAUCCCUCUCUCUCUCUUUCUCUUCCCCCACUUCAUUCUUCCUAAUUGACAUCACAAAAAGCCAGACAAUGGGGGUGGCAUAAACUCUCUGGAAAGAUCAGGAAAAGCAGACCAAAAUUCUCAGGAUGGACUGGGAUGUGGUGAGGAAGUGGAGAAAGGAUGAAUAUUGGGAAUGUCGACACUAGUCCACGUGGAUAUAUCUGGCUCUGGUUAUGUACAUCUUAUGGUUUAAUUUUCACAAUAACCCUAUGAGGGAGUUGGGAUUAAUCUCAUGUUUCAUAUGAGGAAAGGAGGCUUGGAGACAUUAACCAGGAAAAUGAGAGAUUAAAAGGACAAAACAGAAAGGUGCUGUGUUGAUUGAUACCCACAGAAGUGCUCUUCUCUCCUCUUAGGUUUUGCCAGCAUUUGACCCCAGGAGUCCUGUUCCAGACAAUUCUGUGUCUUAAGUGUUUUCUGAUCACUCAGUCCACACCAAUCUUUAUCCCAGCCCUUUGAUUUGCCUAUAGUACUAGAGUUUCAUGUCAUGGGUCCAAGUGGUCAUUUAGUUGUUCUGUAGGAAAAACACUCUAUAUUCACUCUGGCAACCCCAGGCUAUUCCCCCUGUUCAAACUUAGCUUUCUCGUGCUUGUCUUUCUGCCCUUGAAAGUGCUUCACGGCCCUGUCAUCUGGUUCCCAUCCCAAGUUCCCCCAGGAAGGUCCCUGUUAUGGACUGAAUUGUGUUCCCUCAAACUUCAUAUUUUGAAUUCCUAACCCCCAGGACUUCAGAAUAUGAGUGUACUUGGAGAUAGAGCCUUCAAAGAGGUAAUCAAGCAAGAAACAUGAUCACCAAUGUGGGCCUUAAUGUAAUACAACUGGCAUCUUUUAAAAAGGGAAGAUUAGAACACAGACAUACACAGAAGGGAGACUGUGAGGACACAGCUGGAAAGUGGCAACUUGCAAGCCAAGGAGAAGGACCUCAGAAAAAAUUAACCCCACUGACAACUUGGUUUUGGACUUCCAGCCUUCAGAACUGUGAGAAAACACAUGUCUCUUGUUUAAGCCACCCAGACUGUGGUAUUUUGUUAUGACAGCCAUAGAAACUCAUAUACUGCCCUUCUUUGGAUUGGGUGGCAGUUUCUGAACUAGAAUCAAUUUCAUGGGAGUCUAAAAUGACUGGGAAGAGCCUUAGAGUCUGCGUAUGGCCCUCAAAGAGGCUGCUGAACAGCCUACCCUGAAUCUAUCAGGAACUCAUCUCUAGGGAAUUUAUCGUGAACUACCUGAAGAUUAUCCUCCUCUCGAAUGAUGGUACAUGUGAGACAGUUCAGCUGAGAGGUGGCUGCUAGGUCUCUAAAGACUGAUAUAGGAAGGAGUGAGAGGAAGACCCAAUAGACAACUCCUGUCCACAGGCCAACAGUGGUAGCAUCACCUGAGAGUGUGUUAGAAAUGCAAGAUCUCAGCUGCCACCCCAGAAUCUUCAUUUUAAUAUAAGCCUCAAGCAAUUAAGACACUUACUACAUUUUGAGAAACACUGACACUGAUCUGUAGAUCUCAAGUCAUAAUGGAUCUUUAUAGGUCCAGUGUAUCCCUGGCAUAGGCCAGAGGAGUAGGACAAUGAUUCUCAUUGAAAUCACAUGGGGGAGACUUUGGGACUCCUGAUGCCAAGGCCUUGGCCAAGCAAUGAGGAGCUCUGUAGGAGACCCAAGCACCAAAACAUUUUAAAAGCACCUUAAGCAAUUCCAAUUUGUGGACACACUUGAGAAUGUAUCUAUUAUCUAUUUACUCAUAAGAAACUGCCCAACAUUCAGUGGCUUAAAACCAUACCAUUUAUUAACCUCAUGAUUUCAUAGAUUCUGAAAGUUAGUGAUUUGGGCUCGCAUCUAUUUGGUGGUUUUGAUCUCUAUUUGGAAAGAGAGGGAGAGGGAGAAGGAGAGAGGGAGAGGGAGAGGCAGAGAGAGAGAGAGAGAGAGAGAGAGAGAGAGAGAGAGAGAGGAACCUCCUUGAGAUCUAGACUCAGAACAGGUACCAUGUUGUUUCCACAAUUUCUAUUAGUGAAGCAAGUCACAGGGCCCAUAUUCAAAGGUAUAGUAGAUUUCACCUCUUGAUGGGAAGUUAUGCAGUCACACAUGAAAGGCAGAGAGGGGUAGAACUGUGGCAGAUUUUGCAGUCUAACACAUUGAAUUGAUAAGGCUCCCUCUUUGACCAAACUUUAGUUAGGCUCCUCCAAGCCUUCUUUUCACUACAAUUCUUCAUUGGCCCUAUCUUUGGCCACUGGAGCCAAUUUUAGCAAGGAUCUUCUAAGCCAGUGUAGGGAGAUCUCUUCAUCUUUGACUUCCAAUCAAAAUCCUCACUCCUCCACCCUCAAUAUCUAAUUGAGUUUGUCUCCCCCACUCUUGAUAUCUAACCAAGUUCUUCUUAGUUAUUUUCCAACCUCUCCAUCACCUUCCCUGUUGGCUAUAAAUCUUCUGCGCAUUCAGAAUUGACUUCAACCUCUCUCUUCUAUCAUAACAGUCUUCAGUUAAACCUUCCUAGGUCUUUUAAAAGACUUCAGUGCAACCUCUCUUGAACAGGAUCACUGGGAGGGGAAUGUCUUCUCUUCCCUGACCUUCCCCCAUGUUCCCAUGCUGCUAUUCUAAUGCCUAAGUGAGCUCUCUCUGCCUAGUCUAGGAAAUUGGACAAUGAAGUUCCCUUUCUGAGGGAAACAGAACAAGACAGUUUGCUGAACGAAGCUCCACAGUGUUUUGUGUUUAAAUCUCAGAGGUCUAUUUGUGAUCUCAAACAAAAAGUGUUCACUUGACUCCUCUUAAGCUGAAAUUUCUCAUCUUACAAAUGAGAACAAUAAUACCUUCCUAGCAGGGUUAUGAAGCUUAAAUAUCUGUAACAGCAUCAAGCUCACAGGUGUUCAGCUGAUUGGCUUUUUUUCCUUACAGAAAAAUCUCACUACUUACAAUGGACCAGACAAAGGCCAAUUUGAAUGAACAAAAGUUCAAUUACAGAAUUUCUCUACUUGCCCCCGAAGUAGUUGUCAUCUCUCCACCCCAGAGUAACCACAUUAUGUGAUUCCUCAAGGGGGAGGUUCUUAGAGGUCUGCAAGAACAAAUAGUGCCACAAUAAUUGAUGGUUCCUCCAAGAUUCCUGGACCUGCUAGGAAUCUGCAUCUGAAGUCACUCCAAGGGACCAGGUCCUCAGAACCCAGACCUUGAAGAAAGAGAUGUUCUGGGAUGCUGCCCACCAGGAGAAGACAAUAGAGGAAUUCUCAAAACUGGGUCCACAGCAUCUCUGAAGAGAGAGCAUGUGGAUGGUGUUACCUUCAUAUGGGGGACCCUAGAGGAUGUGUAUCACAGAAGAUCCACUACACUGCCGGCCCUUAGAGAUGAAAUGGAAAACGCAUGUGCAGCAAUCUCAACGACCAAGGUUACCCAAGCAGCAGUUCACCAUACUAAUAAAUGCCUGGAAGCUAAUGGCCAUCGCUUUUGUAAUAGUAGAGGCCAAAGCCUACUUGUAUUACUCCCAUGAUGUCUCAAUAAAUUUGGUAUUAAAAUAUUUACACAGGUUUUUCUUUUCCUGAAGUGUGUAUACAUAUUUUUGCAGACUCCGUAUAUGUUGCUUAAUAGAUACAACUGCUCCAUCUUCUUGUCAUUGCCAGGUUCUUGUCAUUUAGGUUUUGGCUCCACUCUCUUCCCCACCCACUCCCACAUCCCAAGCUGCCUCCUGCCACGUUAUCUUGCUUCACUGUACUCACAGAAUUGUGACUGUCUGCAUUAUCUCAUUCAUUUUUUUGUUUACUUUUUUGUUUUGCUGUCUGCUGCCCUG
ensembl:lncRNA